rnacentral:rRNA from 1 species
GUUCGGUCCCUAUCUGCCGUGGGCGCUGGAGAAUUGAGGGGGGCUGCUCCUAGUACGAGAGGACCGGAGUGGACGCAUCACUGGUGUUCGGGUUGUCAUGCCAAUGGCACUGCCCGGUAGCUAAAUGCGGAAGAGAUAAGUGCUGAAAGCAUCUAAGCACGAAACUUGCCCCGAGAUGAGUUCUCCCUGAGACUUUAAGUCUCCUGAAGGAACGUUAAAGACGAUGACGUUGAUAGGCCGGGUGUGUAAGCGCAGCGAUGCGUUGAGCUAACCGGUACUAAUGAACCGUGAGGCUUAACCUUACAACGCCGAAG